rnacentral:tRNA from 1 species
GGAGGUGUCGCAUAGUGGUCAAUUGCACACGCUUGGAAAGCGUGAGCCUCGCGGCUUCAAGGGUUCGAAUCCCUUCGCCUCCG